CCGGGCCCGAGGGUGGUGAGGGGCGAGGGUGUGGGAAAGAGGCGGCGAUGGGCGCGCCCGCGCGGGCUGCCUGGACGUGUCCGUAGCCCCGAAGGCCCCGGGGGCAGCCCGGUGCCUUUUUUACAGCAAACCAGUCGCUGUUAAAAAACGGCUUGGCCGCUCUCCAGGAGCGAGGGCGGAGGUAUGCGGUGAGCACAGGCGGGAGCCCGCAGCGGUGCUGGGGGACGGUGCUGCACCGGGGCAGGUGGGCCCCGUGCCUCAAACACUGCCGGCCUCCGCGGGGCAGCGCUCUUCAAACCCAGCAGUCGUUUCUUCUAAUAAAUAAUGCACACGCGUCUCUAUAUACAGGUAUGUACGUAGGAAUAACCCGAAUCUGGCCCAACCCUUCGCAUUUAUUCCUUUAGAAGUUUGAGGGAGAUGGAGUUGUUACUGUGUGACCGCUAUGAGGGAGGUUGUGGUGAAGUGGCCUCUUCUCCCAGUAACAGCUACAGGACGUCAGGCCUGAGCUGUUCAUUACCAUCACACCAAGCAUGACUGUAAAUGACCUUCUGUACCCUUGAUUGUAACUUCUGAGUACAGUAAACACCGCCUGGACAUCGCCUCUGCAAAAAUCUCCCCUUUCUUCCCCUGGGGCUCUUGUCAGCUCCAGGAUGACAGGAAGCAUCUGCAUCAGCUCCCAGCAACACUUCAGUGGUGCUUGCAGACAAAUUCGUAUUUCCCAAAGAUGGGAAGAAGAUUCCCAGAAGAAGGAGGUCAACUGCCUCAGACAGAAGGGCCAUGGAAGAGCCCCUUGGACACUCCCCUUGGCGGACAAUAUGCUGAUGCACGUUAGUGACUUGAUAGCGAGCUCUUGCUUUGUGGGGGCUGCUGAAGGAUGUCCUUGGUGCUUCUGUGCAGUUACGGGCUCACUGAGUCUCUUCACCAGCAUGCCACUGUGGGUUUGGCUGCAAGGCUUUCAAAGCCUGAGUGCAGCGAGCAGUGCCCGGGUGGCGUUUCUGAUGGCAUCCAUGAUGUGUCUUCUGGUAGAGGAAUGAAUAGAGCUGCUAACCACUGACCCUUGCAAACCUGCCAGAGGGAAAAAAAACAAUAAAGGAAAGUAGGCAGCAGAGCAGGGCCACACUAUUUCUAGCAACUGAGAGCUCUGAUCAGGAGAUGGACAGGUGAGGAUUUCAUUGCACUGGGGGGCAGGCUGCAGUGUCUUCCAGGCCCGAGCGGUCUGCCUGCUGUGGGGCUGCACGCCAGCAUACCCAAUAGUGUGCUAACUGUUGCUGUUUAAUCUCCAGCAUCUUGUUUGACGCCUCGGUGUAAUAAUGAUGGAAAUAAUAAAUGGC
rnacentral:lncRNA from 1 species